UCGGGAAUAUUGCGCAAUGGAGGAAGCUCUGACGCAGUGACGCCGCGUAUAGGAAGAAGGUUUUCGGAUUGUAAACUAUUGUCGUUAGGGAAGAUAAAAGACUGUACCUAAGGAGGAAGCCCCGGCUAACUAUGUGCCAGCAGCCGCGGUAAUACAUAGGGGCAAGCGUUAUCCGGAAUUAUUGGGUGUAAAGGGUGCGUAGACGGAAGAACAAGUUGGUUGUGAAAUCCCUCGGCUCAACUGAGGAACUGCAACCAAAACUAUUCUCCUUGAGUGUCGGAGAGGAAAGUGGAAUUCCUAGUGUAGCGGUGAAAUGCGUAGAUAUUAGGAGGAACACCAGUGGCGAAGGCGACUUUCUGGACGAUAACUGACGUUGAGGCACGAAAGUGUGGGGAGCAAACAGGAUUAGAUACC
rnacentral:rRNA from 1 species